AGGCUUAACACAUGCAAGUCGAGGGGCAGCAUGACCUAGCAAUAGGUUGAUGGCGACCGGCGCACGGGUGAGUAACACGUAUCCAACCUACCGGUUAUUCCGGGAUAGCCUUUCGAAAGAAAGAUUAAUACCGGAUAGUAUAACGAGAAGGCAUCUUUUUGUUAUUAAAGAAUUUCGAUAACCGAUGGGGAUGCGUUCCAUUAGUUUGUUGGCGGGGUAACGGCCCACCAAGACAUCGAUGGAUAGGGGUUCUGAGAGGAAGGUCCCCCACAUUGGAACUGAGACACGGUCCAAACUCCUACGGGAGGCAGCAGUGAGGAAUAUUGGUCAAUGGACGAGAGUCUGAGCCAGCCAAGUAGCGUGAAGGAUGACUGCCCUAUGGGUUGUAAACUUCUUUUAUAUGGGAAUAAAGUGAGCCACGUGUGGCUUUUUGUAUGUACCAUACGAAUAAGGAUCGGCUAACUCCGUGCCAGCAGCCGCGGUAAUACGGAGGAUCCGAGCGUUAUCCGGAUUUAUUGGGUUUAAAGGGAGCGUAGGCGGACUAUUAAGUCAGCUGUGAAAGUUUGCGGCUCAACCGUAAAAUUGCAGUUGAUACUGGUCGUCUUGAGUGCAGUAGAGGUAGGCGGAAUUCGUGGUGUAGCGGUGAAAUGCUUAGAUAUCACGAAGAACUCCGAUUGCGAAGGCAGCUUACUGGACUGUAACUGACGCUGAUGCUCGAAA
rnacentral:rRNA from 1 species